GAGGAGUCUGUCUCUGAGGGGAGACCUCCCUCUCCUGCACCCACCUGUGUGUCUAUGAAGAGCGAUCAGUCCAAGGCUUCAGGCAUUAAUUUCAAAGGACCAGACUCUUCACCCAAACAGAUGGAGGAGUCUGUCUCUGAGGGGAGACCACCCUCUCCUGCACCCACCUGUGUGUCUAUGAAGAGCGAUCAGUCCAAGGCUUCAGGCAUUAAUUUCAAAGGACCAGACUCUUCACCCGAACAGAUGGAGGAGUCUGUCUCUGAGAGGAGACCUCCCUCUCCUGCACCCACCUGUGUGUCUAUGAAAAGCGAUCAGUCCAAGGCUUCAGGGAUUAAUUUCAAAGGACCAGACU